GCUCCUUAGUGGACUGGGGAUCGGAGGAAAUAUACUUUGCGAUGCACAAUCAGGUGAAUGUCUUAUACGACCUUGUAAAACCUGUCCUCCUACAUGGACAUU